rnacentral:rRNA from 1 species
AUGGCUUCCUCCGGCUCUCUCCACCCGGCCCUCCUCGUGCUGCUCCUGCUCGCAGUCGUCGCCACCGCGUCCACGACCACGACGACCUUCGUCCGGGCGGGCGCUCCUCCGGCCGACCUCGCGCAGCGGCUGCAGGGAGUGGGGCAGCAGCAGUGCUGGGAGAUUCUGAUGGACAUCAGGUCGUGCACGGGGGAGAUCAUCCUCUUCUUCCUCAACGGCGAGGCGUACCUGGGGCCCGGGUGCUGCCGCGCCAUCCGCGCCAUCGAGCAGCGCUGCUGGGCCGCCGACGCCAUGCUGUCCGUCAUCGGGUUCACCGCGGAGGAGGGGGACAUGCUCAAGGGCUACUGCGACGCCGGCGACAGCGGCGAGGGGCAGCACCAUGGUGCUCUUGACGGCGUUGCAAGUGACGGCGCCGUGGCCGCCGCUGCGGGAAGGAAAGGGCUUGGUGCCCCGUGA